GAUGAACGCUGGCGGCGUGCCUAAUACAUGCAAGUCGAGCGAACAGAUGAGGAGCUUGCUCCUCUGACGUUAGCGGCGGACGGGUGAGUAACACGUGGAUAACCUACCUAUAAGACUGGGAUAACUUCGAGAAACCGGAGCUAAUACCGGAUAAUAUAUUGAACCGCAUGGUUCAAUAGUGAAAGACGGUUUUGCUGUCACUUAUAGAUGGAUCCGCGCCGCAUUAGCUAGUUGGUAAGGUAACGGCUUACCAAGGCAACGAUGCGUAGCCGACCUGAGAGGGUGAUCGGCCACACUGGAACUGAGACACGGUCCAGACUCCUACGGGAGGCAGCAGUAGGGAAUCUUCCGCAAUGGGCGAAAGCCUGACGGAGCAACGCCGCGUGAGUGAUGAAGGUCUUCGGAUCGUAAAACUCUGUUAUUAGGGAAGAACAAAUGUGUAAGUAACUAUGCACGUCUUGACGGUACCUAAUCAGAAAGCCACGGCUAACUACGU
rnacentral:rRNA from 1 species